rnacentral:lncRNA from 1 species
UUGUACUUUACUAUUACUAAAUAAAUUUUGAUUUAUAAAGAAUGACCCAUAGAGUCAAAUGUCAUCUCAUACUCAAUAGAGUGCUAAUUCCUGUUACUAAAAUGGUCUCUUUCUUAUCUAAGAAAUGUAAUGCAUAUGUUGCUUAUUAUAGGAUUUCAAUAAAAUAUUGAUGUACUAAUACUUUAUCCACUUACAGGAUAUGAGGUCAAGGGUUCAAGAAGCAGGGUUGUCUAUUCAUAGCUUUAUCAUAGAACACUGAAAAUGCAGCGACUCUGCAUGGAAGAAAGAAGAAUGCCCUGCUGUCUCACAUUCAGUGAAUUUUGUUCUAACAAGAGUCUCGCUCUUUCUCCCAGGCUGGAGUGCAGUGGCGCGAUCUCGGCUCACUGCAAGCUUCGCCUCCCGGGUUCAAGCCAUUCUCCUGCCUCAGCCUCCGAGUAGCUGGAACUACAGGCACCUGCCACCGCGCCCGGCUAAUUUUUUGUAUUUUGAGACGGGGUUUCACCAUGUUAGCCAGGAUGGUCUCGAUCUCCUGACCUCGUGAUCCACCCGCCUAGGUGUCCCAAAGUGCUGCGAUUACAGGCGUGAGCCACCGCGCCCGACCUGAUACUAACUAAGUUUUGAGCCAACGUUUGUAUGAUGAGUUGAGACGGAAUUUAAGUCAUAAGAAAAUAAAGUUUUGUCUUUAUUUAACUGUGUUUUUGGCUUGAGGAUAAAUUAUAUAAACUAAGUCCAUAAGCUAAACAGAACAGGAAGUGUUGUUUCCAUUUCCACAUGAAGAAAUUUUGACUCAAAUAUAUUUACUGACCAACCCAAAAUCUCAACUCAUAUAAAGUAUGUUGUUACAACACAAAGUCAUAUCAUCUGGUUCUUUGUGCAAUACUUAUAUUAAUCUUUUUUUUUUUUUUUUCCUGUUUUUGCUAAUGUAGAGUUGUUCCUUAAUCCAUUAUCCCAUAAAUGUGUCUUCUUUUCUUUCAGAUUGGGAGUAAGGUUUGGGGAUCAGGAAGAAUGUUGUUUGUUGUGAUCAGACUACUGUGUAAUAUUUUAGUCUUUGUUUUUUAAUAGUAGGUAAGUCUAGAGUUCUACUUUCUAUUUUUGAUGUUUCUGUAUAACUCAUCACUUUCUACUAAAACCUAGUUAUUUUCAUAUGUAUUUAUUAUCUAUACUCUUCCUCACCAUGAAAAUGUAACUUC